rnacentral:rRNA from 1 species
UACGUAGGGGGCAAGCGUUGUCCGGAUUCAUUGGGCGUAAAGAGCUCGUAGGCGGCUUGGCAAGUCGGGUGUGAAACCUCCAGGCUCAACCUGGAGACGCCACCCGAUACUGCCAUGGCUAGAGUCCGGUAGGGGACCACGGAAUUCCUGGUGUAGCGGUGAAAUGCGCAGAUAUCAGGAGGAACACCGGUGGCGAAGGCGGUGGUCUGGGAAUGUCCUGACGCUGAGGAGCGAAAGUGUGGGGAGCGAACAGG